GACGAACGCUGGCGGCGUGCCUAAUACAUGCAAGUCGAGCGGAGAUUUCUCCUUCGGGAGAAAUCUUAGCGGCGGACGGGUGAGUAACACGUGGGCAACCUGCCCUAGAGAUCGGGAUAACAACGGGAAACCGUUGCUAACACCGAAUAGGAGUUGGAGGAGCAUUCCUCUAACUGGAAAGUUGGCUUUAGCUAACACUCUAGGAUGGGCCCGCGGCGCAUUAGCUAGUUGGUGAGGUAACGGCUCACCAAGGCGACGAUGCGUAGCCGACCUGGGAGGGUGAUCGGCCACACUGGGACUGAGACACGGCCCAGACUCCUACGGGAGGCAGCAGUAGGGAAUCUUCGGCAAUGGACGAAAGUCUGACCGAGCAACGCCGCGUGAGUGAAGAAGGUUUUCGGAUCGUAAAACUCUGUUGUAGGGGAAGAACGGCUCUUAGGCGAAUAGGCUAAGAGAUUGACGGUACCCUAUUAGAAAGCCACGGCUAACUACGUGCCAGCAGCCGCCGUAA
rnacentral:rRNA from 1 species